UACGAAGGGGGGCUAGCGUUGCUCGGAAUGACUGGGCGUAAAGGGCGCGUAGGCGGUGGACACAGUCAGGCGUGAAAUUCCUGGGCUCAACCUGGGGGCUGCGUUUGAUACGUGUUUGCUAGAGUGGGGAAGAGGGUCGUGGAAUUCCCAGUGUAGAGGUGAAAUUCGUAGAUAUUGGGAAGAACACCGGUGGCGAAGGCGGCGACCUGGUCCUUGACUGACGCUGAGGCGCGAAAGCGUGGGGGAGCAAACAGG
rnacentral:rRNA from 1 species